GAAGGUGUGUCGUGAGGCAUGCUGGAGGUAUCAGAAGUGCGAAUGCUGACAUAAGUAACGAUAAAGCGGGUGAAAAGCCCGCUCGCCGGAAGACCAAGGGUUCCUGUCCAACGUUAAUCGGGGCAGGGUGAGUCGACCCCUAAGGCGAGGCCGAAAGGCGUAGUCGAUGGGAAACGGGUUAAUAUUCCCGUACUUGGUGUUACUGCGAAGGGGGGACGGAGAAGGCUAUGUUGGCCGGGCGACGGUUGUCCCGGUUUAAGCGUGUAGGCUGGUUUUCCAGGCAAAUCCGGAAAAUCAAGGCUGAGGCGUGACGACGAGGCACUACGGUGCUGAAGCAACAAAUGCCCUGCUUCCAGGAAAAGCCUCUAAGCAUCAGGUAACACGAAAUCGUACCCCAAACCGACACAGGUGGUCAGGUAGAGAAUACCAAGGCGCUUGAGAGAACUCGGGUGAAGGAACUAGGCAAAAUGGUGCCGUAACUUCGGGAGAAGGCACGCUGAUAUGUAGGUGAAGCGGUUUACCCGUGGAGCUGAAAUCAGUCGAAGAUACCAGCUGGCUGCAACUGUUUAUUAAAAACACAGCACUGUGCAAACACGAAAGUGGACGUAUACGGUGUGACGCCUGCCCGGUGCCGGAAGGUUAAUUGAUGGGGUCAGCGCAAGCGAAGCUCCUGAUCGAAGCCCCGGUAAACGGCGGCCGUAACUAUAACGGUCCUAAGGUAGCGAAAUUCCUUGUCGGGUAAGUUCCGACCUGCACGAAUGGCGUAAUGAUGGCCAGGCUGUCUCCACCCGAGACUCAGUGAAAUUGAACUCGCUGUGAAGAUGCAGUGUACCCGCGGCAAGACGGAAAGACCCCGUGAACCUUUACUAUAGCUUGACACUGAACAUUGAGCCUUGAUGUGUAGGAUAGGUGGGAGGCUUUGAAGUGUGGACGCCAGUCUGCAUGGAGCCGACCUUGAAAUACCACCCUUUAAUGUUUGAUGUUCUAACGUGGACCCGUGAUCCGGGUUGCGGACAGUGUCUGGUGGGUAGUUUGACUGGGGCGGUCUCCUCCUAAAGAGUAACGGAGGAGCACGAAGGUUGGCUAAUCCUGGUCGGACAUCAGGAGGUUAGUGCAAUGGCAUAAGCCAGCUUGACUGCGAGCGUGACGGCGCGAGCAGGUGCGAAAGCAGGUCAUAGUGAUCCGGUGGUUCUGAAUGGAAGGGCCAUCGCUCAACGGAUAAAAGGUACUCCGGGGAUAACAGGCUGAUACCGCCCAAGAGUUCAUAUCGACGGCGGUGUUUGGCACCUCGAUGUCGGCUCAUCACAUCCUGGGGCUGAAGUAGGUCCCAAGGGUAUGGCUGUUCGCCAUUUAAAGUGGUACGCGAGCUGGGUUUAGAACGUCGUGAGACAGUUCGGUCCCUAUCUGCCGUGGGCGCUGGAGAACUGAGGGGGGCUGCUCCUAGUACGAGAGGACCGGAGUGGACGCAUCACUGGUGUUCGGGUUGUCAUGCCAAUGGCACUGCCCGGUAGCUAAAUGCGGAAGAGAUAAGUGCUGAAAGCAUCUAAGCACGAAACUUGCCCCGA
rnacentral:rRNA from 1 species